AGGCCUGUGGCUACAGCUCUGAUUCAACCCCUAGCCUGGGAACCUCCAUAUGCCACAGGUGCGGCCCUAGAAAAGGCAAAAAGACAAUAUAUAUAUUUAUGAAAAAAAAUAUAUGAAAUACCUUGAAAUAUUGCAAGAAUUACCAAAAUGUGACACAGAGACACGAAAUGAGCAAACGCUGUCAGAAAAAUCAUAUCCAUAGACCUACAUGAUACUGGUUUCCCAUAAACCUUCGAUUUGUAAAAAACUUAGCAUCUGCAGAGCACAAUAAAAUGAGGUGUGCCCGCAUAAAUGUAAUCUGUAGAAAGAAUGACUCACUUAACAAAUAUUUUCUCUUGAAAUCCAGGGUCUUCAAAAUCAUUAUUUGGAAAACAAUGCCCGUUUACUCAACAACCACUCCUGAAGCUCCUACUGUGUGCCAGACAAUGACUGAAAUGACCAAAGAACUAGAAAAAAAUCCUUGCAUACCCACCUGCCAUAGUGUCCUAGAGCUGCCAUAACAAAGCACUGCACAUUGGGUGAUUACAGCAACAGAAAUUUAUUCUCUCCCAGUUCCAGAAGUUGGAAGUCAAGGUAUCAGUCGGGCCAGGCUCCCCCAGAGGCUGCAGGGGAGAAUCCUCCUUCACCACUUCCAGCUCCUGAAGGCUGCGGGCAAGGCUUGCAUUGCUCAACUGCUAUGCAGCUUCCCCCUUCCAGUCUCUGCCUUCAUCUUCACAUGGGCUUCUUCCUUCUGAGUGUAUCUCGGUGUAGUCUCUCCUCGUCUUAGAAGGACAGCAGUCACUGGACUUAGGGCGCACCAUACCCCUGUAUGAUAUCCUCUCAACAGUUACAUCUGCAAACACCCCAUUUCCAGUUAAGGUCACAUCCUGAGGUUCCUGGUGGAUGUGGAGUUUGGGGAGACAUUAUUCAACCCUGUACAAAGACUCUUGUUUUUUGUUUCUGUCUCUGUUUCUUUGUCUCUGUCAUUCUCUCUUCUUUGCAGGAUGAGUUAGCUUUGUAAAAAUUAAUUGGGACACUUUUAAAUUUUUUAUACCCUGAAAACAAUUCGAUCAUAUAGAAAUUCUCUCUUCCUUUAAGGUUUGACAGAAUUUGCCCAACGCCUCCCCCAAAUUGCCUAAGUUCACGUUUCAUCAAAGUCUUGCAGAGUUCUUUAUCAGCUGCUUCUGUGACGUUUCAUCUUGUUGAAUUUUUCUGCCUAUUCUUGAGUGGAUUAUAUUGUCUUAUUUUGGUUAAUAUUUUAUUAGCAUAAAUUUAAACACAGUGUGCUUUUAGCUUGAAUCCUCUUUCAUGUCUUUGUCUCUCAUCCCUUUUAUAUUUCUAGAGCUGUUUAUUUGCAUUUUUUUCUUUUUUCUUUUUUUUCCUCAUGCAAACUUGCCAGAGGUUUGUCUCAUUUAUAGGUCUUUUUUUUUUUUUUUUU
rnacentral:lncRNA from 1 species